CCUACGGGAGGCAGCAGUGAGGAAUAUUGGUCAAUGGACGAGAGUCUGAACCAGCCAAGUAGCGUGAAGGAUGACUGCCCUAUGGGUUGUAAACUUCUUUUAUCAGGGAAUAAAACGAGCCACGUGUGCCUUUUUGCAUGUACUUUAUGAAUAAGGAUCGGCUAACUCCGUGCCAGCCGCCGCGGUAAUACGGAGGAUCCGAGCGUUAUCCGGAUUUAUUGGGGUUAAAGGGUGCGUAGGCGGCCUUUUAAGUCAGCGGGGAAAGUCUGGGGGUCAACCCUAGAAUUGCCGUUGAAACUGGCGGGCUUGAGUAUGUGAGAGGUAGGCGGAAUGCGUGGUGUAGCGGUGAAAUGCUUAGAUAUCACGCAGAACCCCGAUUGCGAAGGCAGCCUACCAGGCCACGACUGACGCUGAUGCACGAAAGCGUGGGGAUCAAACAGGAUUAGAUACCCCAGUAGUC
rnacentral:rRNA from 1 species